GUGCAAGUCAUUGGGAUUAAUAUAAUUAAACCUAAAGGCAUAAUUAACUUAAAUGUAUAAUAAUGGGAUUAGUUUUUAAUCUAAUUUUUAAUUAGGUUAUUAAUUCAAUCCCGGGGCGUUCUAUAUAGUUAUGUAUAAUAAUAUUUUAUAUUAUUUAUACCUCUAACUGGAGCGUACCUUCAGCAUAUAUGCUGUGACCCGAAAGAUGGUGAACUAUACUUGAUCAGGUUGAAGUCAGGGGAAACCCUGAUGGAAGACCGAAACAGUUCUGACGUGCAAAUCGAUUGUCAGAAUUGAGUAUAGGGGCGAAAGACUAAUCGAACCAUCUAGUAGCUGGUUCCCUCCGAAGUUUCCCUCAGGAUAGCUGGUGCAUUAAAUUAUUAUAUAAAAUAAUCCUAUCUGGUAAAGCGAAUGAUUAGAGGCCUUAGGGUCGAAACGACCUUAACCUAUUCUCAAACUUUAAAUGGGUAAGAACCUCACCUUUCUUGAUAUGAAGGUUGAGGUUGUGAUAUAAUGUGCCCAGUGGGCCACUUUUGGUAAGCAGAACUGGCGCUGUGGGAUGAACCAAACAUAAUGUUACGGUGCCCAAAUUAACAACUCAUGCAGAUACCAUGAAAGGCGUUGGUUGCUUAAAAUAGCAGGACGGUUGACAUGGAAGUCGUAAUCCGCUAAGGAGUGUGUAACAACUCACCUGCCGAAGCAACUAGCCCUUAAAAUGGAUGGCGCUUAAGUUGUAUACCUAUACAUUAUCGCUAAAGUAUAUGAUUUAUAUUCAAUUUCGAUUGAAUUUAAAUUUUGAAACUUUAGUGAGUAGGAGGGUACAAUGGUGUGCUUAGAAGUGUUUGGCGUAAGCCUGCAUGGAGCCGCCAUUGGUACAGAUCUUGGUGGUAGUAGCAAAUAAUCGAAUGAGACCUUGGAGGACUGAAGUGGAGAAGGGUUUCGUGUGAACAGUGGUUGAUCACGAGUUAGUCGGUCCUAAGUUCAAGGCGAAAGCUGAAAAUUUUCAAGUUAUAAUAUUAAUAAAUAUUAUUUAUUGGUAAUUAAACACUUGAUUAUUUUUGAACGAAAGGGAAUACGGUUCCAAUUCCGUAACCUGUUGAGUAUCCGUUUGUUAUUAAAAAUGGGCCUUGUGCUCAUCCUGGUAACAGGAACGACCAUAAAGAAGCCGUCGAGAGGUAUCGGAAGAGUUUUCUUUUCUGUUUUAUAGUCGUACUACCAUGGAAGUCUUUCGAAGAGAGAUAUGGUAGAUGGACUAGAAGAGCAUGACAUUUACUGUUGUGUCGAUAUUUUCUCCUCGGACCUUGAAAAUUUAUGGUGGGGUCACGCAAACUUCUCAACAGGCCGUACCGAUAUCCGCAGCUGGUCUCCAAGGUGAAGAGUCUCUAGUCGAUAGAAUAAUGUAGGUAAGGGAAGUCGCC
rnacentral:rRNA from 1 species